rnacentral:rRNA from 1 species
AGCGAACGCUGGCGGCAGGCCUAACACAUGCAAGUCGAGCGGCCGUAGCAAUACGGCAGCGGCAGACGGGAGAGUAACACGUGGGAACGCGCCCUUCGGUUCGGAAUAACUCAGGGAAACUUGGGCUAAUACCGGAUACGCCCUUACGGGGAAAGAUUUAUUGCCGAAGGAACGGCCCGCGUCCGAUUAGCUUGUUGGUGAGGUAACGGCUCACCAAGGCGACGAUCGGUAGCUGGUCUGAGAGGAUGACCAGCCUCACUGGGACUGAGACACGGCCCAGACUCCUACGGGAGGCAGCAGUGGGGAAUAUUGGACAAUGGGCGCAAGCCUGAUCCAGCCAUGCCGCGUGAGUGAUGAAGGCCCUAGGGUUGUAAAGCUCUUUCAGCGGGGAAGAUAAUGACGGUACCCGCAGAAGAAGCCCCGGCUAACUUCGUGCCAGCCGCCACAGUAAAAC